rnacentral:tRNA from 1 species
CGGAGUGUAGCUCAGCCUGGUAGAGCACUGCCUUCGGGAGGCAGGGGUCGAAGGUUCAAAUCCUUUCACUCCGACCA